GACGAACCGUGCGAACGUUAUUCGGAAUCACUGGGCUUAAAGCGCGUGUAGGCGGAUGGGAACGUCGGUAGUUGAAAGCCCCCGGCUCAACCGGGGAAGUGGUGCCGAAACGACCCGUCUGGAGGGACGUAGGGGGACCUGGAACUUCCGGUGGAGCGGUGAAAUGCGUUGAUAUCGGAAGGAACGCCGGUGGCGAAAGCGGCACACUGGAUCUCAACUGACGCUGAGGCACGAAAGCCAGGGGAGCGAACGGG
rnacentral:rRNA from 1 species